rnacentral:rRNA from 1 species
CCUACGGGGGGCAGCAGUGGGGAAUAUUGGACAAUGGGGGGAACCCUGAUCCAGCCAUGCCGCGUGUGUGAAGAAGGCCCUCGGGUUGUAAAGCACUUUCAGUGAGGAAGAACGCCUGGUGGUUAAUACCCAUCAGGAAAGACAUCACUCACAGAAGAAGCACCGGCUAACUCCGUGCCAGCAGCCGCGGUAAUACGGAGGGUGCGAGCGUUAAUCGGAAUUACUGGGCGUAAAGCGCGCGUAGGUGGCUUGAUAAGCCGGUUGUGAAAGCCCCGGGCUCAACCUGGGAACGGCAUCCGGAACUGUUAAGCUAGAGUGCAGGAGAGGAAGGUAGAAUUCCCGGUGUAGCGGUGAAAUGCGUAGAGAUCGGGAGGAAUACCAGUGGCGACGGCGGCCUUCUGGACUGACACUGACACUGAGGUGCGAAAGCGUGGGUAGCAAACAGGAUUAGAUACCCCAGUAGUC